UCAGUCGUAUGGGUUUAUCCA
rnacentral:piRNA from 1 species